GUGGCCAAGUGCUAAGGCAUCGGUCUCAGAAAUCAAAGAUCAUGGGUUAAAAGCCCAUCCUUGCCUA